CCAAUGGGCUGGUCUGUAAUCUUAAUGGGCAGUACAGAGUUAUGUGCGUUCACUGUAAGGGCAGACCAACAAGAAUGUUUUUCUACUUUGAACCACUUCUCUUUAAUAGGGGUGAUUCUUUUAAUUGCCAGGGAAAAAUUGUGGCAGCUGGAGUGAGAGUAGGAAUGGGGAAGAAAAAAAAAAAGACUAAUGG
rnacentral:snoRNA from 1 species